rnacentral:rRNA from 1 species
UAUCAACUUUCGAUGGUAGGAUAGAGGCCUACCAUGGUGGUAACGGGUAACGGGGAAUUAGGGUCAAAUUACCCAAUCCCGACACGGGGAGGUAGUGACAAUAAAUAACAAUACGGGGCUCUUUCGGGUCUCGUAAUUGGAAUGAGUACAAUUUAAAUCCCUUAACGAGGAACAAUUGGAGGGCAAGUCUGGUGCCAGCAGCCGCGGUAAUUCCAGCUCCAAUAGCGUAUAUUAAAGUUGUUGCAGUUAAAAAGCUCGUAGUUGAAUUUCGGGAUUGACACAUCGGUCGUGCCUUAAGGGGUAUGAACUGGUGUAGUCAAUUUCUCACCUUCUGGAGAACCGCGAUGCCCUUAAUUGGGUGUCACGGGGAACCAGGACCUUUACUUUGAAAAAAUUAGAGUGUUUAAAGCAGGCAUUUUGCUUGAAUACAUUAGCAUGGAAUAAUAAAAUAGGACGGCAUGAUUCUAUUUUGUUGGUUUCUAGGAUCACCGUAAUGAUUAAUAGGGAUAGUUGGGGGCAUUAGUAUUCAAUUGUCAGAGGUGAAAUUCUUGGAUUUAUUGAAGACUAACUACUGCGAAAGCAUUUGCCAAGGAUGUUUUCAUUAAUCAAGAACGAAAGUUAGGGGAUCGAAGACGAUCAGAUACCGUCGUAGUCUUAACCAUAAACUAUGCCGACUAGGAAUCAGACGAUGUUAAUUUUUUAAUGACUCGUUUGGCACCUUACG